rnacentral:rRNA from 1 species
UAGGGAAUCUUCCGCAAUGGGCGAAAGCCUGCCGGAGCAACGCCGCGUGAGUGAUGAAUGUCUUCGGAUCGUAAAACUCUGUUAUUAGGGAAGAACAAAUGUGUAAGUAACUAUGCACGUCUUGACGGUACCUAAUCAGAAAGCCACGGCUAACUACGUGCCAGCAGCCGCGGUAAUACGUAGGUGGCAAGCGUUAUCCGGAAUUAUUGGGCGUAAAGCGCGCGUAGGCGGUUUUUUAAGUCUGAUGUGAAAGCCCACGGCUCAACCGUGGGGGGUCAUUGGAAACUGGAAAACUUGAGUGCAGAAGAGGAAAGUGGAAUUCCAUGUGUAGCGGUGAAAUGCGCAGAGAUAUGGAGGAACACCAGUGGCGAAGGCGACUUUCUGGUCUGUAAAUGACGCUGAUGUGCGAAAGCGUGGGGAUCAAACAGG